rnacentral:lncRNA from 1 species
UAUGAACCCUAACUUUUUCAAAUCCUAAUUCAGCUCAAUUAGACUCGUUUUUCAUCUAUCCAACUCAUCAAUCAAGCCUAAAAGGACAUAAUUAACGAGUAUUGAACAAGAAAUCAACCAUGCAACCACUUUGAAAAAAGUUGGAAAUUUUGAAUGCGAAAAUUAGAUGGCGAUUUCUCUAUACCUUAGCUUGUUUCAGAUAAACAAGGGUAGAAAAAUGAAAAGUCGAAGUGAAAUCACGGAGAUAGCAACUUGAAUCAACGAAUUUGGUGUAGAAUUGAGAGAGUUAUGAGUUCUUAAGCUUUGGAGAAUGAAAGUAUGAAGUUUUGUGAUAAGGGAGAAAGAGAGAUACGAUUUUGGAGAAGAAGAAGGAGUAGCUCGCGACUGGUUGAUGGUUUCGAUCCGGUUCAGUUAAUUAAACAGGAAAUCGACGUCAGUUCGCGUGAUUUAAACCCGCAGCGGUCACUCGACACCGCUCCAAUAGGCCGCUGCAACUCCCACAACGGCUUCUUGCCACGAAACCUCACAGACCGCUGCGACAAGUACGAAUCGGGCAGGGAGCAGAGUAUUUUCACAGCGGCUUGAGUAGACCGCUCCGAGAGACCGCUGUGACACUUAAAGCAUAUUUCUCAUCUUCUCGUUUGGUCGCAGCGGUGUGUGAGGGCCACUGUGCGUGGCCGCUGUGAGCGUUUUGAACCUCUCUACACCUUGUUCAUGUCCACAACUUCUCCUUUUGGACUUGAUGAUCUGAUAGACACAGAAAAAUAACCAAAGACAUACUAGAAAUAGAAAAACUGAAAGAUAAAAAUAUGUACAAGGAUAGACAUGGGACUUCCUCCCCAUUGAGCUUGUUUUAAGUCUCUAGCUUGACUUCCUUUCUUUUUGGUUAGGCGGGAAUGGGGUCGGAGAGAGGAACCGAGGUUUUCUCGUCCUCUGUUGUGGCUCCCAUGUCGAGCUUAACCCUCUGUCCAUUGACUGUAAAGUCUCCACCAUC